GCCCAUUUAGCCCAACUGGCAGAGGCGAUAGUUUUAGGAACUAUAUGUUUUCGGUUCGAAUCCGAAAGUGGGUA
rnacentral:tRNA from 1 species